GAUGAACGCUGGCGGCGUGCCUAAUACAUGCAAGUCGAGCGAACAGACGAGGAGCUUGCUCCUUCGACGUUAGCGGCGGACGGGUGAGUAACACGUAGGUAACCUACCUAUAAGACUGGGAUAACUUCGGGAAACCGGAGCUAAUACCGGAUAAUAUUUCGAACCGCAUGGUUCGAUAGUGAAAGAUGGCUUUGCUAUCACUUAUAGAUGGACCUGCGCCGUAUUAGCUAGUUGGUAAGGUAACGGCUUACCAAGGCAACGAUACGUAGCCGACCUGAGAGGGUGAUCGGCCACACUGGAACUGAGACACGGUCCAGGCUCCUACGGGAGGCAGCAGUAGGGAAUCUGCGGCAAUGGGCGAAAGCCUGACGGAGCAACGCCGCGUGAGUGAUGAAGGUCUUCGGAUCGUAAAACUCUGUUAUUAGGGAAGAACAAACGUGUAAGUAACUGUGCACGUCUUGACGGUACCUAAUCAGAAAGCCACGGCUAACUACGUG
rnacentral:rRNA from 1 species